rnacentral:rRNA from 1 species
AGAUUGAACGCUAGCGGGAUGCUUUACACAUGCAAGUCGAACGGCAGCGCGGACUUCGGUCUGGCGGCGAGUGGCGAACGGGUGAGUAAUAUAUCGGAACGUGCCCAGUAGCGGGGGAUAACUACGCGAAAGCGUGGCUAAUACCGCAUACGCCCUACGGGGGAAAGGGGGGGAUUCUUCGGAACCUCUCACUAUUGGAGCGGCCGAUAUCAGAUUAGCUAGCUGGUGAGGUAAAGGCUCACCAAGGCGACGAUCUGUAGCUGGUUUGAGAGGACGACCAGCCACACUGGGACUGAGACACGGCCCAGACUCCUACGGGAGGCAGCAGUGGGAAUUUGGACAAUGGGGGAACCCUGAUCCAGCCAUCCCGCGU